AACGUAGGAGGCAAACGUUAUCCGGAGUUACUGGGCGUAAAGGGCGUGUAGGUGGUUUCGUAAGUCUGGCGUGAAAUUUCUCGGCUUAACCGAGGCAGGUCGUCGGAUACUGCGGAACUUGAGGACGGUAGAGGCGUGUGGAAUUCCGGGUGUAGUGGCGAAAUGCGUAGAGAUCCGGAGGAACACCAGUGGCGAAGGCGACACGCUGGGCCGUACCUGACACUGAUGCGCGGCAGCAUGGGGAGCAAACAGG
rnacentral:rRNA from 1 species